rfam:Ictidomys tridecemlineatus contig015022, whole genome shotgun sequence.
GGGGGUGUGGCUCAGUGAUAAAGCACUUGCCUAGCCUAGCAUGUGCAAGGCCCUGGGUUCAAUUCCCAGCAUCGCCA